GCCCCGGUAGCUCAGCGGUAGAGCACCCGCUUCGUAAGCGGUAGGUCGUUGGUUCAAAUCCGACUCGGGGCACCA
rnacentral:tRNA from 1 species